rnacentral:rRNA from 1 species
UACGGUAGGGUGCGAGCGUUAAUCGGAAUUACUGGGCGUAAAGCGUGCGCAGGCGGUUCGUCGUGUCCGAUGUGAAAGCCCCGGGCUCAACCUGGGAAUGGCAUUGGAAACUGGCGGGCUUGAGUGUGGCAGAGGGGGUGGAAUUCCGCGUGUAGCAGUGAAAUGCGUAGAGAUGUGGAGGAAUACCGAGUGGCGAAGGCAGCCCCCUGGGAUAACACUGACGCUCAUGCACGAAAGCGUGGGGAGCAAACAGG